UACAAAUUGUAACCACGCCGGAGAAGUGUAGCGAUAAAAUAAUCCCCCAAAAAGGGCAGCAAUGUUUUUUCAGUAAUAUGGAAAUGGUUCGGGUUUAAGAGGUCUGAUAACGAAUGUCCUGUGUAAAAUGUGUCGAAAUACAAUUGCUACGAAAAGCAGCAGCACAAACAACCCCUUCAACUGAAACACGCGGUGGAAUGCAUGAGACUACGCAAUACCGAUUCCAGUCGCCCGAUUCACAAAACGUCAGCUAAGACAAACUACCAUAGCCGCAUCCUUUUCAAAUGUUAUCUCUUAUGACAAGAAAGGUUUGAGGUGGAAGGAGAUAACGGAUGCAGUGACCUAUUACUAUGCUAAAGUUAUCUUUACAGUACAAAAGCCAGGCUUUAAAAAGCUGCUAACACAGUUGACCACAUAUCAGCUGCCAAGCCGCAAGUAUUUCACUGAAGAAGCCCUGCCGUGAUUAUACACUGCUACCCGCGAAAGAGUCGCAGAGAAGCUGGCUAGUGUGUGUUAUUGUUCCACUACAGCCGAUCUAUGGUCGAGCAGAAUGUCUGAGCCGUACCUACGUUUGACAGUCCACUACAUAAAUGACUACUGGAAAUUGCAAAAUGGCUGCCUCCAGACGUCUUACUUUCCUGAUGAUCAUAUGGGUGAAGUAAUAGCCCAGGGACUCUCUGGCAUCGUGGAAGAUGAGGGAAUACCGACAGGUGUGCCUGACAGCCGGAGCAACAUGAUAAAAGCAUUGCGCUUGCUGGACCGGCCUGCAGUGCUUUGGGGACAGGCUUCACCUCGCCAUCGGUGGAAGUGUAACCAAGACAACCCUUCUGGAUAUAAACUUUACGCCUCCAACUCAAUCAUCAAGUUUGCAGACGACACAACAGUAGUAGGCCUGAUUACCAACAAUGACGAGACAGCCUACAGGGAGGAGGUGAGGGCCCUGGCGGAGUGGUGCCAGGAAAAUAACCUCUCCCUCAACGUCAACAAAACGUAGCUGAUCGUGUACUUUAGGAGACAGCAGAGGGAGCACGUCCCCCAUUCACAUCGACGGGACUGCAGUGGAGAAGGUGGAAAGCUUCAAUUUCCUCGGCGUACACAUCACUGACAAUCUGAAAUGGUCCACCCACACAGACAGUGUUGUGAAGAAGACGCAACGGUGGGCUUGGCCCCUAAGACCCUCAGAAACUUUGACAGAUGCACAACCGAUAGCAUCCUGUCGGGCUGUAUCACCGCCUGGUACGGCAACUGCACCGCCCGCAACCGUAAGGCUCUCCAGAGGGUAGUGAGGUCUGCACAACGCAUCACCGGGGGCAAACUACCUGCCCUCCAGGACACCUACAGCACCCGAUGUCACAGGAAGGCCAAAAAGAUCAUCAAAGACAACAACCACCCAAUCCACUGCCUGUUCACCCCGCUAUCGUCCAGAAGGCGAGGUCAGUACAGGUGCAUCAAAGCGGGGACCGAGAGACAGAAGCUGUUUUUCUAUCUCAAAGCCAGCAGACUGUUAAAUAGCAAUCACUAGCCGGCUGCCACCCGGUUACUCAACCCUGCACCUUAGAGAGUGCUGCCAUAUAUACAUAGACAUGGAAUCACUGGUCACUUUAAUAAUGUUUACAUACUGCUUUACUCAAAUGUCUACACUAUUCUACUGUAUUUUAGUCAAUGCCAUUCCAACAAUGCUCGUCCUAAUAUUUAUAUAUUUCUUAAUUCCAUUCUUUUACUUUUUAGAUGUGUGUAUUGUGAAUUGUUAGAUACUACUGCACAGUUGGAGCAAGGAACACAAGCAUUUCAAUACACUCGCAAUAACAUCUGCUAAAUAUGUGUAUGUGACCAAUACAAUUUGAUUUGAAGUACAGAGAGAUCCUUGAUGAAAACCUGCUCCAGAGAGCUCAGGACCUCAGACUGGGGUGAAGGUUCACCUUCCAACAGGACUACGACCCUAGGCACAAAGCCAAGACAACACAGGAGUUGCUUCGGGACAAGUCUCUGAAUGUCCUUGAGUGGCCCAACCAGAUCUGCAGAGAAGAAUGGGAGAAACUCCCCAAAUACAGGUGUGCCAAGCUUGUGGCAUCACACCCAAGAACACUCGAGUUGAGGCUGUAAUUGCUAAAGUUGCUUCAACAAAGUCCUGAGUAAAGGGUCUGUAUACUUAUGUUAAUGUGAUAUUUCAGUUUUUAAAAAAGUAUACAUUUGCAAAAAAUUCUAAAAGCCUGUUUUUGCUUCGUCAUUAUGGGGUAUUGUGAUGUCAUUAUGGGGUAUUGUGUGUAGAUUGAGGGGGGGGGGGGAACAAUUAGAGCCUUAGAAUAAGGCUGUAACGUAACAAAAUGUGGAAAAAGUCAAGCGGUCUGAAUACUUUCUGAAUGCACAAGUGUUAUGUGUUUACCUUGUCUUUCUUUUUGUUGCAGACUGUCAUCUGUAUUGUUCUCUGUCUGAGAGUAUGGAUUCCUGAUACAAACACCUCCUUUUGUAUUUGUAGAAUUACAUCUAUAUAUUCUGUUCUAUCUGAUAUGAUAUCUAGUGGCACUUUGUUGUUACUUUAGAUUACGGCAGGUGUCUGUAAUUAUCUCUGGCUGCUAAGGCUGCCCAAGUCUAAUCUCUUUCCCAUUUUAUUGACCAAUCAGAUCAGCACUGAAAAUGAUCUGAUUUGAUUGGUUAAAAGACCAAUUAGCGUGGGUGGGGGGGAAUCAGAAUUGGUCUGCCUGUAUAAACGCAGCCUUAGUGGCCUCAUCUGUCUCACUGUUUGGGGAGAUUUUCUCUGAUGAAGGUCGAACGACCGAGAGAUAAAAUGUAAGACAUUUGCAUCGGUUUCUUUUUUUUCUGUUUCUAAAGUCAGUAAAUUCUAGAACCUAUUUUAUUCAAAUAACUUCCUGGUUUUCGUGACACACGUUUGUAUCCAUGUACAGUAAAAGUGAAUAAAAACAUUUUCAUUGAGUACAACUAUAGUUAACUAUCAGUAGAUCUACAUACAAACCUAUUCUACAUAGUUGUAUCUCCGGUGUGAUCCGCAGAAGUCUCCGUAGCCGAUCAUUCUCCUCCUGGUACUCUGCUACCGCUUUCGCAAAUUCCCUGGAAAUCUCCACAGCAGCAAAUGCCGUUAAACGCUCAUUUAAAAACUCUCGAAACGACUGUAGUUUAGAUGUUUUCAGUGGACUGAGAGUUGCGUGUUCAGCUAGUACGGCUUCUUGACGUGGGUCCUCCUGAUCACAUUCACUUUUCACACAGGAAGGAGUAAAUAUGAACUCCAUGACAUCAGGCUCCAACCCUUGAAUCUGCUCUUCCUCCUGACUGGUCCUGACUUCCUCCUGUUCCUCUUUAAUCUGUGUGGUCUCUGGGUCCUCCUGUCCCAGACUGGGACUCCACUCCUGCUCACAGUGCUGCUGCUCAGGGGGAACCUCCUCUUCAGAGACAGAGAGCUGCAGGGAUUCUGGAGGGACUGAGAGGAGGAGUAGAGGUUACCACAGUCCCCAAAUCCAGAACAAAUUCAAGAAAGCGUACAGUAUUAUAAAGAGCCAUUGUCUCAUGGAACUCUGUUCCAUCUCAAAUUGCUCAAAAUGAAAAGCAAACCUGUUUAAAAAAACAGAAAGCAACACCUCACAACGUCUCUCCUCUACUUGACCUAAAUAUUUUGUGAGUAUGUAUUGAUAUGUAGGCUACGUGUGCCAUUAAAAAUGUUUUCUGUAA